rnacentral:lncRNA from 1 species
CAGCCAGAGUCCCAAAGGCUGUGAAGAAUCCGAGCUGCUCUUUCAAUAUACCGAGAUCCCAGAUACUCUACUGCAUGUGUUAUAGUUUCAACUGUAAUUUCCUGCGUGGCUCCUUAGCAGCACGUGUUUCUGAGCAGGACAGGUGCUACAGCAUCCCUGUACAGGGAUUCUUACUGUGGAAGCCAGAGUGGUGCUUUGCCUGCACGUCUCUACUUCAUCCACACUACUGGAAGUGCCUUUAUAACAUGACUGAUCUAAGGAAGAGUCAUCUGAUUCUACGCACAACUGAGUUGUAUCAAACAAACAAAAGAAUGAAGGCCUAAAGAUGAACAAGAGAAGGGUUAUUAAGUAAUUCAAGCAGAAUAAGCUCCUGCUAAUAGCAUCAGCUUACAGUAGAACCACCCGAACUGGAACAGAUCCUGACAGAUAUAUUGAAGAUGAGCACUGUCCACAGACUGACGUACUCAAGAUAGCAGGGCAAUUCUGUUAGGACCUGCCAUGUCUAAGGUUUGAGCAGCCCACUUCUGCCCUCCACAGAGCUGCAGACAGAACUGUAAUUAAGCAAGCAGAAAUCCUGUUCUUCAGUCUCCACAAAGCAAACUUCUAAUCCAGCUGAAGAUUUUGGAUGAUGCUGUGAAAGGAGUCAGUCAGAAUGGUCCACGUGCACUGUAUUUGAAGAGAGAACUGGGACUUUG